GACGAACGCUGGCGGCGUGCCUAAUACAUGCAAGUCGAACGCUGACGGAGGAGCUUGCUCUUCUGGAUGAGUUGCGAACGGGUGAGUAACGCGUAGGUAACCUGCCUGGUAGCUGGGGAUAACUAUUGGAAACGAUAGCUAAUACCGCAUAAGAGUAGAUGUUGCAUGACAUUUACUUGAAAGUUGCAAUUGCAUCGCUACCAUAUGGCCCUGCGUUGUAUUAGAUAGUUGGUGGGGUAAGGGCUUACCAAGGCGACGAUACAUAUCCGACCUGAGAGGGGGAUCGGCCAACCUGGGACUGAGACCAGGCCCAGACUCCUACGGGAGGGAGCAGGAGGGAAUCUUCGGCAAUGGACGGAAGGCUGACCGAGGCACGCCGCGGGAGGUAAGAAGGGUUUCGGAUCGUAAAGCUCUGUUGUAAGAGAAGAACGAGUGUGAGAGUGGAAAGUUCACAUUGUGACGGUACCUUACCAGAAAGGGACGGCUAACUACGUG
rnacentral:rRNA from 1 species